GAUCAUUACAGAGUUAUCCAACUCCCAAACCCAUGUGAACCUAUCUCUUUGUUGCCUCGGCGCAAGCUACCCGGGACCUCGCGCCCCGGGCGGCCCGCCGGCGGACAAACCAAACUCUGUUAUCUUCGUUGAUUAUCUGAGUGUCUUAUUUAAUAAGUCAAAACUUUCAACAACGGAUCUCUUGGUUCUGGCAUCGAUGAAGAACGCAGCGAAAUGCGAUAAGUAAUGUGAAUUGCAGAAUUCAGUGAAUCAUCGAAUCUUUGAACGCACAUUGCGCCCAUUAGUAUUCUAGUGGGCAUGCCUGUUCGAGCGUCAUUUCAACCCCUAAGCACAGCUUAUUGUUGGGAAUCUACGCCCUAGUAGUUCCUCAAAGGCAUUGGCGGAGCGGCAGCAGUCCUCUGAGCGUAGUAAUUCUUUAUCUCGCUUCUGUUAGGCGCUGCCCCCCCGGCCGUAAAACCCCUUAACUCCAAUGGUUGACCUCGGAUCAGGUAGGAAUACCCGCUGAACUUAAGCAUAUCAAUAAGCGGAGGAAAAGAAACCAACAGGGAUUCCCCCAGUAACGGCGAGUGAAGCGGGAACAGCUCAAAUUUGAAAUCUGGCCCUCGGGUCCGAGUUGUAAUUUGUAGAGGAUGCUUUUGGUGCGGUGCCUUCCGAGUUCCCUGGAACGGGACGCCUUAGAGGGUGAGAGCCCCGUACGGUUGGACGCCUAGCCUCUGUAAAGCUCCUUCGACGAGUCGAGUAGUUUGGGAAUGCUGCUCUAAAUGGGAGGUAUAUUUCUUCUAAAGCUAAAUACUGGCCAGAGACCGAUAGCGCACAAGUAGAGUGAUCGAAAGAUGAAAAGCACUUUGAAAAGAGGGUUAAAUAGCACGUGAAAUUGUUGAAAGGGAAGCGUUUAUCACCAGACUUUUUCUAGGGGGAUCAUCCGGUGUUCUCACCGGUGCACUUCCCCUAGUGGAGGCCAGCAUCGGUUUUCGGAGGGGGAUAAAAGUUUCGGGAAUGUGACUCCCUCGGGAGUGUUAUAGCCCGUUACAUAAUACCCUUCUGGGGACCGAGGU
rnacentral:rRNA from 1 species